GAUGAACGCUGGCGGUCUGCUUAACACAUGCAAGUCGAACGAACUCUUCGGAGUGAGUGGCGGACGGGUGAGUAACGCGUGAGAAUCUGCCUGUGGGUCGGGGACAACCACUGGAAACGGUGGCUAAUACCGGAUGAGCCGAAAGGUAAAAGAUUUAUUGCCCACAGAUGAGCUCGCGUCUGAUUAGCUAGUUGGUAAGGUAAAAGCGUACCAAGGCGACGAUCAGUAGCUGGUCUGAGAGGAUGAGCAGCCACACUGGGACUGAGACACGGCCCAGACUCCUACGGGAGGCAGCAGUGGGGAAUUUUCCGCAAUGGGCGCAAGCCUGACGGAGCAACGCCGCGUGAGGGAGGAAGGUCUGUGGAUUGUAAACCUCUUUUCUCUGGGAAGAGAUCUGACGGUACCAGAGGAAUCAGCAUCGGCUAACUCCGUGCCAG
rnacentral:rRNA from 1 species